GGCUCGGUAGCUUAGUUGGAAAAGCACUUGUCUAGCAAAUAAGGGGCUGUCCAUUAAUUACGUAAGGGUUUUUGGGGGGAGGGUGGGUUUGAAAAAUCUUACGAGCCAUGCAAAAAUAUUCGGGCUGUCAUACAAAAAAUCUUACAAGGGGGUGUGGGGGUGUCGAAAAAUCGCAAAAAAUCCCUUACGUAAUAAAUGGACAGCCCCUAAGGGUCGUGAGUUCAAAUCUCACCUGAGCUG
rnacentral:tRNA from 1 species